AGUAUUCUCUUUCUGCAGUGUGCUCUGUGGAUGUAAGCGCCCCAGGCCAAUCUUUCUACUAAUUUGCAAAGAUACAGGAAGCCGUGUCCCGCUCUCUCCUCUCCCCUCGCGACUCCCAGAGACUCCAGUGAGACGGGGAAUCGGACACAUGAAAGGAGCUGGAGCUGUGAAGAAAGGAAUAUAAACACAAAGCACGGAAGCCUUUGGGUCCAGUAUCUCCUCUGAGUGUCCACAUGUGAGAGGACAGGCAGUGACCACAAAGUUUGGGCGUAAAAAUGUUGCAGGAAAUCCCACUCCCAUUCCCC
ensembl:lncRNA